rnacentral:rRNA from 3 species
AGCGUCUGGAAAGGCGCGCGAUACAGGGUGACAGCCCCGUACACAAAAGCGCAUGUGCUGUGAGCUCGAUGAGUAGGGCGGGACACGUGGUAUCCUGUCUGAAUAUGGGGGGACCAUCCUCCAAGGCUAAAUACUCCUGACUGACCGAUAGUGAACCAGUACCGUGAGGGAAAGGCGAAAAGAACCCCGGCGAGGGGAGUGAAAAAGAACCUGAAACCGUGUACGUACAAGCAGUGGGAGCCCCACCACCAAAGCAUUCUCUGGUGUUGAAGGCCCUGCAAAGCAGCAUCGCGGUGGCGGAGCGUCGUUUGCGACGCCCAACACACAAAACAAGCGGUGAAUGCUUUGGGGUGGGGUGACUGCGUACCUUUUGUAUAAUGGGUCAGCGACUUAUAUUCUGUAGCAAGGUUAACCGAAUAGGGGAGCCGGAGGGAAACCGAGUCUUAAUUGGGCGUUAAGUUGCAGGGUAUAGACCCGAAACCCGGUGAUCUAGCCAUGGGCAGGUUGAAGGUUGGGUAACACUAACUGGAGGACCGAACCGACUAAUGUUGAAAAAUUAGCGGAUGACCUGUGGCUGGGGGUGAAAGGCCAAUCAAAC